GUGGUGUCAUUAUUAUCCUCAGCUGUCCCCGAUUACAUUCAUCAGGGGAGCAGACAUAAAGAGUGGGCAGCCAGUCCAGCGUCGCCUGAGUGUUGUGCCAGUCACGGUGAUCCCUUGGACGCUCUGGAUCCGUCGAUUAGAUCCUGGCUGUUUUAUACUGUUUUCAAAUAGGAAACCUUUGUGACGCCGUGGAACGUACCCACUGGUUGCCCGAGUUCCCAGACUCAUCUAUUCCGUUGCUUGCAAGAAGCUUCUGGACCCCGCAGCUGGCGGCCGUACCGCUCCACUGUGUCUCGUUUGCCUCCGAGCCUACCUGUCCUGUACCUACCACCCCAAGACUCGGAUCCAAGCACCACCAUGAACUAUUGCUGCACGUUACCGUUGAUUUCCCUGGACCAGAUCACUCUGAGACAUUCUGAUAAUUGUGUGAGCUGUAAUAUAAUCAUUUGAACUGA